rnacentral:rRNA from 1 species
UACGGAGGGGGGCUAGCGUUGUUCGGAAUUACUGGGCGUAAAGCGCACGUAGGCGGCUUUGUAAGUUAGAGGUGAAAGCCCAGGGCUUAACCCUGGAAUUGCCUUUAAGACUGCAUCGCUAGAAUCGUGGAGAGGUGAGUGGAAUUCCGAGUGUAGAGGUGAAAUUCGUAGAUAUUCGGAAGAACACCAGUGGCGAAGGGC